UCCGUUAUGGUCUAGUGGCUAGGAUACAUCGCUCUCAUCAAGCGCCGAUGUGGCCGGGGUUCGAUUCCCCGUGACGGAA
rnacentral:tRNA from 1 species